AAAAUGCUAGGUUAAAAAAACUCUAGACCUUCAAAGUCUAUAAUGAAUGAAAUUUCGUAUUUU
rnacentral:tRNA from 1 species